GUUGUAGCAGUACAGCAGUGGCAGACGGGUGAGUAACACGUGGGAACCUACCUAGGGGUACGGAAUAACUCAGGGAAACUUGUGCUAAUACCGUAUACGACCUUCGGGUGAAAGAUUUAUCGCCCCUAGAUGGGCCCGCGUUGGAUUAGCUAGUUGGUGGGGUAAAAGCCUACCAAGGCGACGAUCCAUAGCUGGUCUGAGAGGAUGAUCAGCCACACUGGGACUGAGACACGGCCCAAACUCCUACGGGAGGCAGCAGUAGGGAAUCUUGGACAAUGGGCGAAAGCCUGAUCCAGCCAUGCCGCGUGAGUGAUGAAGGCCUUAGGGUUGUAAAGCUCUUUCGCCAGGGAAGAUAAUGACGGUACCUGGAUAAGAAGCCCCGGCAAACUUCGUGCCAGCAGCCGCGGUAAUACGAAGGGGGCUAGCGUUGUUCGGAAUUACUGGGCGUAAAGCGCACGUAGGCGGUUUUCCAAGUUGGAGGUGAAAUCCCUGGGCUCAACCCGGGAACUGCCUCCAAAACUGGAUGACUCGAGUCCGAGAGAGGUGAGUGGAAUUUCCAGUGUAGAGGUGAAAUUCGUAGAUAUUGGAAAGAACACCAGUGGCGAAGGCGGCUCACUGGCUCGGUACUGACGCUGAGGUGCGACAGCGUG
rnacentral:rRNA from 1 species